UCGUAACAAGUUUCCGUAGGUGAACCUGCGG
rnacentral:rRNA from 1 species